UAAACGACUAUCGGCAACCGAUAUUUCGGCUCUCGCAUCGAUGAAGAACGUAGCAAAAUGCGAUACUUGGUGUGAAUUGCAUAAUCCCGUGAACCAUCGAGUCUUUGAAAGCAAGUUGCGCCCGAAGCCAUUAGGCCGAGGGCACGUCUGUCUGAGCGUCACAC
rnacentral:rRNA from 1 species